AAGGUUUUGCGAGUGAACACGGCCAUCGAGUCAUAUUUUUACAGAGAGAGACAAAGGAGAAGAGCGGAUGGGUGAGAAGGAAUGGUAGAAGAGGAAUGAAAGCGGAUAAUGGGAGCGAUGAAUACAUGUACUGCAAGACGUGUGUCAUCAUCAUUAACGGUCGAUUGAGAGUGUGAGAAGCACACAGAAAAGAUGAGCACAAGAAGGGGAUAGAUAAAAGGAAAGAGAAAAACGUGGAGCGCCUGGACCAACCCCUAAUAAGGACUUCCGACAUAUUGAAUAACCUCCGAAAAGUUGUUAGAAAGAACAACCAACACUUUGGAACAUUUUUGAAAUAUUUUCCUCCUGGUUUGAUUUCAGAAUAAUUUAGCGAGAAGUGAAGCUUCCUGCUGUUUUUCUGUUUUUCAUAAACCCCUGACUCAUUUUGGAC
ensembl:lncRNA